AUUGAACGCUGGCGGCAGGCCUAACACAUGCAAGUCGAGCGGAUGAAGGGAGCUUGCUCCUGGAUUCAGCGGCGGACGGGUGAGUAAUGCCUAGGAAUCUGCCUGGUAGUGGGGGAUAACGUCCGGAAACGGGCGCUAAUACCGCAUACGUCCUGAGGGAGAAAGUGGGGGAUCUUCGGACCUCACGCUAUCAGAUGAGCCUAGGUCGGAUUAGCUAGUUGGUGGGGUAAAGGCCUACCAAGGCGACGAUCCGUAACUGGUCUGAGAGGAUGAUCAGUCACACUGGAACUGAGACACGGUCCAGACUCCUACGGGAGGCAGCAGUGGGGAAUAUUGGACAAUGGGCGAAAGCCUGAUCCAGCCAUGCCGCGUGUGUGAAGAAGGCCUUCGGAUUGUAAAGCACUUUAGGUUGGGAGGAAGGGCAGUAAGUUAAUACCUUGCUGUUUUGACGUUACCAACAGAAUAAGCACCGGCUAACUUCGUG
rnacentral:rRNA from 1 species